rnacentral:tRNA from 2 species
AUCAGCUUAGUUUUUAAAAAAUGUUGUUUUGUGGUAGCAAAGAAAGUCUUGUACUAGCUGGUA